rnacentral:rRNA from 1 species
AACCAGGAUGUUGGCUCAGAAGCAGCCACCAUUUAAAGAGUGCGUAAUAGCUCACUGGUCGAGAGACGCUGCGCCGAAAAUGUCCGGGGCUCAAGCACGGAACCGAAGCUAUGGCAUGAUAGCAAUAUCAUGGGUAGGGGAGCGUUCUUAUAAGGAAGAAGCAUGACCGGAAGGACAUGUGGACGAAUAAGAAGUGAGAAUGCCGGUAUGAGUAUCGAAAAGAAAGGUGAGAAUCCUUUCCACCGAAAGCCCGAGGGUUCCUGAGCAACGAUCGUCGACUCAGGGUAAGUCGGGACCUAAGCCGAGGCGAGAAGCGUAGGCGAUGGACAACAGGUUGAAAUUCCUGUACCGGAUCAAGUCGAUCGAGCGAAGGAGCGACGCAGGAGGGCACAUGAUCGCGCGGCUGGAAGAGCGCGUCCAAGUGCGUAUGUUGCAGCAGAGGAAAACCCCUGCAGCUAAAAGCAGAGACAUGAUGGGGAGUUAAAGGAAACUUUGACGAACUCAUGGAUCCCACACUGCCAAGAAAAACUUCUAGCGAGACAAGAUCCGCCCGUACCGUAAACCGACACAGGUAGGCGGGGAGAGAAUCCUAAGGUGCGCGGGAAAACCCUCGUUAAGGAACUCGGCAAAUUGCAUCCGUAACCUAGGGAGAAGGAUGGCCCCCGGUCAGUGAAGAGCAGAAACGCUCAGAGCUAAAAGGGGCGGCAGAAAAGAGGCCCAAGCAACUGUUUACCAAAAACACAGGUGCCUGCGAAAGCGAAAGCUGAAGUAUAGGUGCUGACGCCUGCCCGGUGCCGGAAGGUUAAGGAGAGAAGUUAGCGAAAGCGAAGCAUCGAACUGAAGCCCCGGUGAACGGCGGCCGUAACUAUAACGGUCCUAAGGUAGCGAAAUUCCUUGUCGGGUAAGUUCCGACCCGCACGAAAGGUGUAACGAUUUGGGCACUGUCUCAACGAGGGGCCCGGUGAAAUUGAAAUACCUGUGAAGAUGCAGGUUACCCGCGACUGGACAGAAAGACCCCAUGGAGCUUCACUGCAGCUUGAGAUUGAAUCCCGGUGACAGAUGCACAGGAUAGGUGGGAGGCGCCGAAGCAUUGCCCUAGGGCGGUGCGGAGCCGAUGUUGGGAUACCACCCUUCUGUUGCUGAGAUUCUAACGCGAGGAGUAACGACCCUGCGGACCCUCUCAGGCAGGCGGUUUGACUGGGGCGGUCGCCUCCGAAAGAGUAACGGAGGCGCCCAAAGGUUCCCUCAGGCCGGACAGAAACCGGCCGAAGAGUGCAAAGGCAGAAGGGAGCUUGACUGCGAGACCAACAAGUCGAGCAGAGACGAAAGUCGGGCUUAGUGAUCCGGUGGUACUGGGUGGAAAGGCCAUCGCUCAACGGAUAAAAGCUACCCUGGGGAUAACAGGCUAAUCUCUCCCAAGAGUUCAUAUCGACGGGGAGGUUUGGCACCUCGAUGUCGGCUCAUCACAUCCUGGGGCUGGAGUAGGUCCCAAGGGUUGGGCUGUUCGCCCAUUAAAGUGGUACGCGAGCUGGGUUCAAAACGUCGUGAGACAGUUUGGUUCAUAUCCAUCGCGGGCGCAAGAAGUUUGAGAGGAGCUGCUCCUAGUACGAGAGGACCGGAGUGGACGGAUCAACGGUGUCCCAGUUGUCACGCCAGUGGCACGGCUGGAAAGCCGCAUCCGGGAAGGAUAAACGCUGAAAGCAUCUAAGCGCGAAGCCAACCUCAAGAUGAGACUUCU